UGAAAAAUCAACACCAACAAAAUACCUCAUCUUAUUCCCAUCCUGAAAUGACUCUUCUACAGUGGCUUCUGUAUCAGGACACAGAUUCUGCCUUCCAUCAGUCUAAGGUCCAGACCUCUUCACAGCACUUGGCUUAUGGUCCAGAUUUCAAGUGCCAGUUACCCAGAAACACUAAGCAUAUGGAUUCAGCCUCUUCAUUUUGUCUAAAGAAGUUGGUGACUUCAUUGACUUUACUGCACGAAAUCUUCAAG
rnacentral:lncRNA from 1 species